AGAGUUUGAUCCUGGCUCAGGAUGAACGCUAGCUACAGGCUUAACACAUGCAAGUCGAGGGGAAACGAUAUUGGAAGCUUGCUUCCGAUAGGCGUCGACCGGCGCACGGGUGAGUAACGCGUAUCCAACCUGCCCACCACUUGGGGAUAACCUUGCGAAAGUAAGACUAAUACCCAAUGACGUCUCUAGAAGACAUCUGAAGGAGAUUAAAGAUUUAUCGGUUUGGGGUGGGCUCGCGUCUGAUUAGGUAGUUGGUGAGGUAACGGCCCACCAAGCCGACGAUCGGUAGCCGACCUGAGAGGGUGAUCGGCCACAUUGGGACUGAGACACGGCCCAAACUCCUACGGGAGGCAGCAGUGGGGAAUAUUGGGCAAUGGGGGGAACCCUGACCCAGCAACGCCGCGUGGAGGAAGAAGGUUUUCGGAUCGUAAACUCCUGUCCUUGGAGACGAGUAGAAGACGGUAUCCAAGGAGGAAGCCCCGGCUAACUACGUGCCAGCAGCCGCGGUAAUACGUAGGGGGCAAGCGUUGUCCGGAAUAAUUGGGCGUAAAGGGCGCGUAGGCGGCUCGGUAAGUCUGGAGUGAAAGUCCUGCUUUUAAGGUGGGAAUUGCUUUGGAUACUGUCGGGCUUGAGUGCAGGAGAGGUUAGUGGAAUUCCCAGUGUAGCGGUGAAAUGCGUAGAGAUUGGGAGGAACACCAGUGGCGAAGGCGACUAACUGGACUGUAACUGACGCUGAGGCGCGAAAGUGUGGGGAGCAAACAGGAUUAGAUACCCUGGUAGUCCACACUGUAAACGAUGAAUGCUAGGUGUAGGGGGUAUCGACCCCUUCUGUGCCGCAGUCAACACAAUAAGCAUUCCGCCUGGGGAGUACGGCCGCAAGGUUGAAACUCAAAGGAAUUGACGGGGGCCCGCACAAGCAGCGGAGCAUGUGGUUUAAUUCGACGCAACGCGAAGAACCUUACCAGGUCUUGACAUCCACUUAAACUUACAGAGAUGUAAGGUGUGCUUGCACAAAGUGAGACAGGUGGUGCAUGGUUGUCGUCAGCUCGUGUCGUGAGAUGUUGGGUUAAGUCCCGCAACGAGCGCAACCCUUAUCUUCAGUUACUAACGCGUAGAGGUGAGGACUCUGAAGAGACUGCCGGGGACAACUCGGAGGAAGGUGGGGACGACGUCAAAUCAUCAUGCCCCUUAUGACCUGGGCUACACACGUGCUACAAUGGCCACGACAGAGAGAAGCGAAAUCGCAAGGUAGAGCGGAACUCAAAAAAGUGGUCCCAGUUCGGAUUGUGGGCUGCAACCCGCCCACAUGAAGUCGGAGUUGCUAGUAAUCGCGGAUCAGCAUGCCGCGGUGAAUACGUUCCCGGGCCUUGUACACACCGCCCGUCACACCAUGGGAGUUGGGAGUGCCCAAAGCCGGUGAGGCAACCGCAAGGAGCCAGCCGUCUAAGGCAAGACCAAUGACUGGGGUGAAGUCGUAACAAGGUA
rnacentral:rRNA from 1 species